rnacentral:rRNA from 1 species
UACGAAGGGAGCUAGCGUUGUUCGGAAUCACUGGGCGUAAAGCGCACGUAGGCGGAUGUGUCAGUCAGGGGUGAAAUCCCGGAGCUCAACUUCGGAACUGCCUUUGAUACAGCACGUCUUGAGUCCGAUAGAGGUGGGUGGAAUUCCUAGUGUAGAGGUGAAAUUCGUAGAUAUUAGGAAGAACACCGGUGGCGAAGGCGGCCCGCUGGAUCGGUACUGACGCUGAGGCACGAAAGCGUGGGGAGCAAACAGG